CUGUCCUGGUUCUGGCGGCUGAGGGCCGGGUGGCGCAGGCGGCCUCCGGCUGUGCCCAUGGGAACUAAAACCUUCGGUUCUAGAAGAGCCGGGGGAGAGGCUCCGGGAAGACCGAAUUCUUCAGAAAUCGCAGAGAGACCUUGGACCGGAUCCUUCCCUGCAGGGCUGCGUCGGGGAAGCGCCGGCACAAGUAUAUUCAGCGACUUCCUUGGAAGCGCCUACGUUAGAAUACUACAAACUUACAAGCUAGUUGAUCAGUUUACCUCCCACUAGAAAAGACAGUAUGGGAAGGCAGAGGCCGCGUGGCCUGGACCCCCGUCUUUGCUGUCAGGCUUCCAGAGUGAAGGUGGGGCUCAUAUUCAGACUAGUUCCUGGUCCAUUCAUUCUUUCAGUCAGUCAGUCAGUCAUUCCUACAGGGCCAGAAACUUUUUUUUUUUUUGAGACAGAGUUUCGCUCUUGUUGCCCAGACUGCUCACCGCAACCUCCGUCUCCUGGGUUCAAGAGAUUCUCCUGCCUCAGCCUCCCGAGUAGCUGGGAUUACAGGCAUGUGCCAGCACACCUGGCUAAUUUUUGUAUUCUUAGUAGAGACGGAGUUUCUCCAUGUUGGCCAGGCUGGUCUCGAAUUCCCGACCUCAAGUGAUCUGCCCGCCUCGGCCUCCCGAAGUGCUGCAAUUACAGGCGUGAGCCACCGCGCCCGGCCCAGAAACAUGUUUUGAAGGGCAGGCACCGCACAGGGUGCUGGAGACAGACUGAAGGAAACUGCACCUCUCAGUGACUCAAGAGAGAUUUGUUGAGUAUCUACCAAGUGCCUAGCGCUGUUCUUGUCCCUGGGGAUUCAGCCUCUGGAUUGGGACCUGCAGCCCAGAGAAGGGAAAUGGGGGAAAUCCAAGUUCCCAGGUACAUCAUGAUACCCUUCCAGGUGGCCUCUCCUUCCUGGAAAUUGCCAUCACCAGCGGCCAUAGCACCCCCAUGGGACCUGGGGGAUGGAGUUGGAAGCCCCCUCCGGCAACACUGGCCAGAUUGGAGAGACCAGCAGGGAAGCUCCCUCCUACCCCCAGGGAGGCUGAAGCCAGCUCUCCAUGGGCACGAAACCUGGAACCCAGGACCCUGGGGGGCAGGUGAGAUGACAGGGACUUGGGGUCUGGGAGCAGAGUCACAGGGAAGAGUGGCAUCUAGGGGAGGCGCAUCUUGGGGGUGCAUCUAGGGGAGGUGCUAAGAAGUGACAGGGGUCUCUGGAGGUGCCCCAGUCCCUCUGCUGGGAUGCAGGGUGGCAGGGAGCUGAGAAGGUGCUCAGCCACCCUCUGGAAGCUUCUGACGUCCCAGCCUAAGCUCAGCCUGCAGGGCCCUGUGGCCUGAGCCAACCCCAGACCUGGGUUGGAUUUUUUCCUUGUUUCUUGCUUCCUUCCUCCCCUGGACUCCUGCCAACUCCAGCCCUGCCCUCCUCGCUCUUCACCCCACUUCAGAGAACUGUGACCCACUGGAGGCUGGGAUUUGAGAUGAGAGGUCACCCUCGGAGUUGGCUCCAGCUGCUGCCUCUGCCUGGGACCCCUCCUUGGGAGUUGGGUGGCAGGGCCUUGCUGGGGGCACUUCCCUUCGCAUCUGGAUUUUGGCCUCGGGCCCAGGGCUAUGGGGGUUUCCAGAGUGGUGACAGCCUUGUCCUAGCAGGGACCAGCCCAAGCACUUCCUCCCAGAGCCCUCUGGGAGCGUCCCAGCCCCAAGGCUGUCAUUUUGUCGUAGGGAGUAAAUUGUGGAGUCAGCAGAGGCUGUCUUCCACACUUUCUGUGCCUUCCAGGUAUCCUGUCAUUCCUCAUUCUGAAAACCUAGGCUUGCAUCUCUCUUGUGCCUAGGGCUAUGCUGGACUAGAGAAGACACAGGUGGCCAAAGCUGGACCCAGCCCUCAGGGAACAGAUAACCUGCGUGAGAAACAAAUAAUUGAUUCUGCCCUUUAUCCCUCCCGGGCCAGCACGGAGGGGUUCAGCCAAUGACUGGGAAUUGAAUGAAAAACCAAAGAGAACAGCCAUGAGAUCUGUCUGCUAUGGGUGGGAAAGCAGAUGGGAGAGUGAGAAGGGCUUCAAGGAGAAGGUGAUAUGUGAACAGGGCAUAAAUGGAUGAAUAGGAGUUUGCCAGGCACAGAAAGGGAAGGACAUUCCAGGGGAAGCAGGCAGAGGCCUGGCAAGGCAAAGGCCAGGAGGAUUGCAAGUAAAGUCAUGGUAUGAGCAGAAAACAAGAGAGGUCCAGUUGCCCAUGGCAUAGGAGAGGGGACAGGCCAAGAGGGUAGUGGGUAAGCACUGUUUUCCCUGCCCAGCAUCCAUCUCUCACUCUGGUGACUGUCCCUCAGUUUUCUAGUCUCCAGUGUGACUGGCCCCCAACCCUCAAGCUCUAAAAGUGGGUUUGAGUCCUGUGCCUAGCCAGUCUGAGUCAUGGGAAUGGCUCCAGCAUAUGACAUCAGAGAGCAUCAGCCCAGGAACUUGAUGGGACUGUUAGGGUCACAAAUGUCAAGAUGCCAGCCCAGAGCUGCUGGUGGCCAGCUCUGCCACCCUAAGGGGGGAGCCUGCCUAAGAAUAAGGCCAACAUAGAAGAAAACAGCACCAAGAGAAUGAAUCUCAAUGACAUUGCCUGUGCUCCUGGAUCCAGUCAUGCCUGAAGCAGUUUCUAUUCUACGAGCCAACAAAUUCCAGUUUUGGCUUAAUACAGUUAGGGUUGGGUCUGUCACUUGCCACUGAGAAUGAAGGGCCCAUUGCAGAAUAGCUAAAGGCAGGUGAUCACUCAUGAGAGUUGCCGAGUGCUGUGGGAAAGGCAACGAUGAUCUGUGUGUAGAGGUACAACACCAUCAGAACUGCAUUUUCUUUCAUUUAAAUUACUUUUUGAGGCCGGGUGCGGUGGCUCACGCCUGUAAUCCCAGCACUUUGGGAGGCCAAGGCGGGUGGAUCAGCUGAGGUUAGGAGUUCGAGACCAGCCUGGGGAACAUGGUGAAAACCCGUCUCUACUAAAAAUACAAAAAUUAGCGAGGCGUGGUGGCACGUGCCUGUAGUCGCAGCUACUCAGGAGGCUGAGGCAGGAGAAUCACUUGAGCCUGGGAGGCGGAGGUUGCAGUGAGCCAAGAUUGUGCCACUGCACUCCAGCCUAGGCGACAGAGUGAGACUCUGUCUCAAAAUAAUAAAAUAAUAAUAAUAAUAAUAAUAAUUACUUUUUGAUUAGGUAAUGCUCUUUCUUUUCUUUUUCUUUCUUUGAGAUAGGGUCUUGCUGUAUCGCUGGAAUGCAGCGGCGUGAUCACUGCUCACUGCAGCCUCAACUUCCUGGGCCCAAGCAAUCCUCCUGAGUAGCUGUGACCACAGGCACAUGCCAUUUGCUAAUCUUUGUAUUUUUUGUAGAGACGGGUUUUCGCCAUGUUGUCCAGGCUGGUCUUGAACUCCUGGGCUCAAGCAAUUCAUCUGCCUCGGCCUCCCAAAGUGCUGGGGUUAUAAGGGUGAGCCAAAGCGCCUGGCUGAGGUAAUGCUUUCAUGUGAUUCAGAAUUCAGAAGUUGGCUGGAUAUGGUGGCUCACACCUGUAAUCCCAACAGUUUGGGAGGCCAAGGUAGGGGGUGGGGUGCGGAUCACCUGAGGUCGGGAGUUCGAGACCAGCCUGGCCCACAUGGCAAAACCUCGUCUCUCCUAAAAAUACAGAAAUUAGCCAGGCAUGGUGGUGGGUGCCUGUAAUCCCAGCUACUCAGGAGGCUGAGGCAGGAGAGUCGCUUGAACCUGGGAGGCGAAGGUUGUGGUGAGCCAAGAUCACACCACUGUACUGGGUGCCUGAGCGACAGAGUGAAACUCCAUCUCAAAAAGAAAAAAAAAAGAAAGAAAGAAAAAGAAAUUCUGAAGUCCUAAGAGGCAAGAAGUCUCAUCCCUGUCCCCCAGGGACAGUUCUCCAUUCUGCUAUAGCCAACUGGUGUUAUCAGUUUCUUGUAAACACUUCUAGGGAUAUUCUUGCAUGAACGAGCAGGGCCCCUCUCAUUUUUUUUUUUUUUAACACAAAUGUCAAUAUUUAGACAAGUAGAGUUCCAAAGUACUGCAGGCCCUGGUGGUAGCUGGCGGAGGGCCGUCCUGCUCGGGACUGUGAGAAGCCCUUUCAUUGAGCCUCUGCUGUUCAUGCUGUUUGACACCUUGCGUUUUCCAGUUAACGUUAUAUUUUGGAGACCACUCUACAUCAAUACAUAGAGUGUGUCCUCAUUUUCACAGCUGCACGGUAUUCCAGCACAAGGAUGUAUGGUAAUUUACAGAUGCACUUCUUGGCAGAGGGACCUUCAGGUUGCUUCCAGCCCUUUCUCAAGACAGGCCGUGCCGCAGUGAGUCAUCUGUACAAAAGCCCUUUCACACAUGCACGAGCGCUGCUGCGGAAUACAUUCCCAGAAGGGACUUGGGAGGACUGGGGGGCAAAAGAUACAUGCAGUGGUGUCUUAUUAUUGUUAUUUUAGAGACAGGGUCCUGCUCUGUCACCCAGGCUGGAGUACAAUGUACAAUGGUGUCAUCAUAGCUGACUGCAGCCUCGACCUCCUGGGCUUAAGCCAUCCUCCCGCCUUGGCCUCCUGCGUGGCUGGGACUACAGGCACGCACCACCGUGCCCAGCUUGCAGUGGUCAUUUUGUCAGCUCUGUCAGCUUGUCCUUCUUGGAGACUGUGCCAGGUACCAGGCCCCCACACAGUCAACAGGGCUGUUUCUCCUCAGGCUCACCAGCCCCUGGUUUCCACCUAUUUUGAUUUUUGUCCAUCUGAAAGGCAAAAACUAAACAAAACAAAGGAAUUUGGGUGUA